CUGCAUGCACUGAUGGUCCUUCAACAGUUUGUGGUUGUUCUUCUGUCUGUACUAGGAUGUAAUAGAAAAGCUUCCUGAGCGUUCCCCUGCCUCUGUGGCGGCCAAACUGAAUUGGGGUAUACAUCU